GUUGCUUUUUUUUUUUUUUUUGUAAACCCAAAUUCAGAAGUUUGCUAUAUCCUCCUUUAUAUAUGUGUGUAAAUUUAUUCAAGUAGAAAUAUGGUUCCAGAAGGGUAGUAUUGUAAAUCCAAGCGAAGAACAUGGAAGUUUAUGAAAAAGAAACGACUUAUGUCUUCUUAUUGUUGUAUCUACUUCCUCGGAACGAAGCAAGAGACAAAGUGAGGAUACUGGAUUUGGCAAGGAAGAUGAAGAAGCAGCAGAAGCAGAGGUCCCUGAGAGAUGGCCUGAAAAGAAACCUUUAAAGAAUCCCAAUGUCAUAAAAGGGGUCAUGGCACACAGGGUUUAUUCAGGCAAAAGAAGAAUUUAAAAGAAAAGCAUGUAUUAGCAUAGAUAUGGAACUUGAAGCUCAUUUCGAUUAUAACAUUAAAGUUCAUAACAAUCGGAUUCAACGCAUAUUGACAAGGUUUCGUUUAGCUGUUCAUUUUUAAGUUUGUUGGAUACCUUGAAUUUAUUUAUCAAGUUCGACUUUCGAA